CUUUUUAAUAACUAUUGAAAAGCUUAAAGGUUUAUAUUUGUGUUUAGUAUGUGUGUGUUUGAAUCUUCUUGCUUGAAACGUUUCUUCCAAUCAAUUAUUUGUCAAAUGUAUCAUAUUCUUGUUAUAGAAAUCAUGUCCAAAAUUAUACUCUGCAAGAGUGGGAAAAUUCAGACCAUGUGACUGAUAAGAUCACAUGUUGAUUUAUGUAUUGGAGGAGAAACAUACAACAACCUGAGCAAAGACAAUAUCUAAUUGGUCAAGACACCAUUUGGGAUGUAUCCAACAGUCCGGUUAAAAUACUCAGGACAACAUCAAAUAAUGCUUUUAGCUGUGCUUAUAAAGUCAUGCUUUAGUCACAGCUUUUAGCUUUUUGCUUCUAGUCAUGCUUUUAUCUUUUUAGUCAUUGCUUUUUGCGUUCUUUGAGUGCCGUUCCAGCGUGCUUCGGCCUAUAUGCCCGCUGCUACUUAGCCAUGAUGAGAAUAAUCUAGAAUCUAGUAUCUAGACCAUCUAGUUUUGUUACUUCUAUACUUCUACUUUAAUUUCUUUUCUGUUGAAAGUUUCAUGUUCUGAGUUAAGUUUUGUCUCUGAGUUCACCUUGAGUCUGUGACCGCCUCAAAACUUCAACCAGCCCACAACUCCGCAUCUUCAGCCAACGCUUAACCACUGGCUUGCCCAGACGUCACUUCAACGACUACUGAACUUCCAGCCAAUCAGCAACCUAGGGAAACCUCCUUUUCUGCAAUGAAGACAACAAAGGGAACCCCCCUACACAGGCAAGCUUGUGUGAAUGUGUGAGUGUGUGUGUUUAUGUUAGACUAGUUAUAUGUCUUAGAUUUAUCCAAUAAAGCCUGAUUUAUAUUGAAAAGAGAAGUAUCUUGUGUUUUGUGCUUACAAGUUCAUGUCUUAAACUGCCAAUCUUGAUACUGUGUGUUACGACCUGAGUUUCUUGUAGUGGUGUGUGUGUGUGUGUGCGCGCGUGUGUGUACAUUCUCCUCCCUCUUAUUCUCUCUGGUAUCUGAUAGGAUGGCCGCUGAUGGGAUGUACGAUCGCCAUUGGUGGUGGAGACGAGGCGUGGUCUUUAAAAGGAGGCUGCCGGCAUUCAACGUGGAGCUCAUUGUUGGUUCGGACGCGGUUGGGUUGAGAGCUCCUGGAUCCCCUCUCCGGCCGAUGAUCAAAUUUGUCACUUUCAAGUAUAGUGUAAAAGCUAGUGAUCACGUUCUUUCCUUUUCAACCUUGUGUACUAAGAAGGUGGAGCAAAGGGGUGUCCUGCCGAUUUGUUUUGAGCUAUCUUGUUUGGGUUCUGUUUUGUGUUAGGAAGUUAGGGAAGUAAAAUGUAUUUUACUUUUGUUAUUUGAUUAGGUUAGUUAUUACUCUUUUUCUUUCUAGAUUGGUUCUGUUUGUUAUUUUGGCCUUUGGGACACCCUGGAGAGAUGCUCUUUGUUUCACUUGUUGGCUUUUAAUAAAUCUAAUUACUUAUUCUGAAUAACAUCGUGUA
ensembl:lncRNA